AUUGAACGCUGGCGGCAGGCCUAACACAUGCAAGUCGAGCGAGCGGCGGACGGGUGAGUAAUGUCUGGGAAACUGCCUGAUGGAGGGGGAUAACUACUGGAAACGGUAGCUACUACCGCAUACUAUCAGAUGUGCCCAGAUGGGAUUGGCUAGUAGGUGGGGUAACGGCUCACAUCGGCGACGAUCCCUCGCUGGUCUGAGAGGAUGACCAGCCACACUGGAACUGAGACACGGUCCAGAAUCCUACGGGAGGCAGCAGUGGGGAAUAUUGCACAAUGGGCGCAAGCCUGAUGCAGCCAUGCCGCGUGUGUGAAGAAGGCCUUCGGGUUGUAAAGCACUUUCAGCGGGGAGGCGUUACCCGCAGAAGAAGCACCGGCUAACUCCGUGCCAGCAGCCGCGGUAAUUC
rnacentral:rRNA from 1 species